rnacentral:rRNA from 1 species
UACGUAGGGUGCGAGCGUUAAUCGGAAUUACUGGGCGUAAAGCGUGCGCAGGCUGUUCUGUAAGUCAGAUGUGAAAUCCCCGAGCUCAACUUGGGAACUGCGUUUGAAACUACAGGACUAGAAUAUGUCAGAGGGGGGUAGAAUUCCACGUGUAGCAGUGAAAUGCGUAGAGAGUGUGGAGGAAUACCAAUGGCGAAGGCAGCCCCCUGGGAUAAUAUUGACGCUCAUGCACGAAAGGCGUGGGGAG